GCCCCAUUUUUGGCCGAGUGGUUAAGGCGAUGGACUGCUAAUCCAUUGUGCUCUGCACGCGUGGGUUCGAAUCCCAUCCUCGUCGUUGUGACG